rnacentral:rRNA from 1 species
UACGGGGGGGGCAAGCGUUGUUCGGAAUUACUGGGCGUAAAGGGCUCGUAGGCGGCCAACUAAGUCGGACGUGAAAUCCCUCGGCUCAACCGGGGAACUGCGUCCGAUACUGGAUGGCUUGAGUUCGGGAGAGGGAUGCGGAAUUCCAGGUGUAGCAGUGAAAUGCGUAGAUAUGCGGAGGAACACCGAUGGCGAAGGCAAUCCCCUGGGCCUGCACUGACGCUCAUGCACGAAAGCGUGGGGAGCAAACAGG